rnacentral:lncRNA from 1 species
CUCUGCUUCCUGAAUGCCACGAGGUGAACAACUUUGCCUUCACUCUGCCCCUCUGCCAUGCCACCCUGCCUUGGAGCCAGCAGCAUGUAGACUGAAACAUCUACAAACUGUGAGCCAGGAUAAACCUCUAUUCCUUUAAGUUGUAGAUUUUGGGUAUUGCCUCUCUGCAACAAGGAAAGAAAGAUAGGUCUGGAGUCCACUUGCCUUAGAGGAAAUUAUGCAUUAUUCGGGGGAGUUUUGCUCCCUGUCCUUCAUUAGCUUCCUGCUUCCCAAAUCCAGAGCUGAGAGUCUAUGGUGCCAGAGGACUCCGCAGUGCCAUUCUGUUUCCCUUCUCCUUCCCACUGUUGCCAAACAUGAUCGGAGACCUACUGGGCUAGAGAAAGAGCAGACAGUCACUCCGCACCGAGGCAGCCUCCACAUCCAGCACAGUGCUCUGGACAAGGUGCUGCCUCUUCUGGCUGGUGCUAGGAGUUUUACAAACGUUAUCUCAUUUCAUCUUAUGACACCCUUGUGAAGCCAGCAGCUUUUAUUGUACUUCUACAGCGAG